UAACUCCCGCCACGAAUCACUUGAUUAUUACAUGACCGUUAACUUCUUAGUUAAGUAACAAGUUUACCUGAUUUUUUUAGCGUACUUCCAUAUCAUUGGCCAAUCGCUUUAGUCAAAAGCAGGGUGAAACAUGAAUUGAUAAAAUCAGUAUUAGGAAUUAGGAAAAUUGUGAACGCAAUUUGUGGGCAUAAAACGAAGUAAAAGAGCAGUGACAGCACUUCAUACGUACUCAAGAAAAGCUGAAAUUACACCAAUUUAAAACUACUUACUAAAGUACAAAUUCUAAACAAUAAAUUACUCAAUUACAAUAAUGACAGUUACUUUACACCCCUAAUCAAGACCCCUGUAUUCUGUAUAUGUGCCCUCUCAUGGAAAAUACUGUUUAUGGUGUAUUUUCGUCAAAAGCCAUUAUGGACACGGUGACAGCAAGUGUGCAGGGAGGAGAAAGCCACAAUCUCUGCUUCAGAGCAGCAGGGGGUGCUGAGGUUAUGGAGCCAGACUGGGGUGGCUGGGGGUUACGACCCUGAGAGGCCCCACGCUUGCAUUCUUCAGUCAAGACACAGCCCUGACAAGUGACUGUUCUCUUUUGUUCUAUUGCCGACCCUUCUGUCAAAUUGUGCUCGUUGUCUGAAUUUAGUGGUAAUAGAGCGGUUCUCGUACAUCAGUGCGCUGAUGCACUAUAACUACAACUGAAAGCCUUCUUAAAACGGCCUUCUUUGCUGUACUUCGUCAUAUAUGAGAAGGUCUCGACUGACGUAAGUAAUCCCUUCCACAGACCCUUACAUAAGUUGUUUACCUUCCGAUACCAUAUAUAUCUAUAGCGAAAGACACACAAGCUGAAAAUAUACUAAUAAUAUGUACUAUGUAUAUCACAUAUUAAAAUGAAUAAAAAGAUAAAGUGUGAAUAUAUUUACAGGUAUAUGCAGCCUUUUGGCAUUAGUGCUCCGGUAUAUUCCAUGUCUGGGAUAUUUUUUACAUAAAUCCAGAUUUACUUAAGCCAGUUUUACUUGAGUCGAGAGUUGCCAAUAUACAGUAUACAUUAAGUUAAGUUAAUGUUAGGUUGUCCUUCCAAUAAU